rnacentral:rRNA from 1 species
GAUGAACGCUGGCGGCGUGCUUAACACAUGCAAGUCGAACGAAGCAUUUGCGACAGAUUUUUUCGGAAUGAAGUUGCUUAUGACUGAGUGGCGGACGGGUGAGUAACGCGUGGGUAACCUGCCUUGUACUGGGGGAUAGCAGCUGGAAACGGCUGGUAAUACCGCAUAAGCGCACAAUGUUGCAUGACAUGGUGUGAAAAACUCCGGUGGUAUAAGAUGGACCCGCGUCUGAUUAGCUAGUUGGUGGGAUAACAGCCCACCAAGGCGACGAUCAGUAGCCGACCUGAGAGGGUGACCGGCCACAUUGGGACUGAGACACGGCCCAGACUCCUACGGGAGGCAGCAGUGGGGAAUAUUGCACAAUGGAGGAAACUCUGAUGCAGCGACGCCGCGUGAGUGAAGAAGUAAUUCGUUAUGUAAAGCUCUAUCAGCAGGGAAGAUAGUGACGGUACCUGACUAAGAAGCUCCGGCUAAAUACGUG